AACUCAAAGGAAUUGACGGGGGCCGCACAAGCGAGGAACAUGUGGUUUAAUUCGAUGAUACGCGAGGAACCUUACCGGGCUUGAACUGCAGCGGAAGGAUACAGAGAUGUUGACGUCCUUCGGGACCGCUGUGGAGGUGCUGCAUGGUUGUCGUCAGCUCGUGCCGUGAGGUGUCGGCUUAAGUGCCAUAACGAGCGCAACCCUUUUCAUCAGUUGCCAUCAGGUGAUGCUGGGCACUCUGGUGAUACUGCCACCGUAAGGUGUGAGGAAGGUGGGGAUGACGUCAAAUCAGCACGGCCCUUACGUCCGGGGCUACACACGUGUUACAAUGGGGCAUACAGAAGGCGGGACCAUGGCAACAUGGUUCAAAUCUUUAAAGUGCUCCUCAGUUCGGAUUGGGGUCUGCAACCCGACCCCAUGAAGCUGGAUUCGCUAGUAAUCGCGCAUCAGCCAUGGCGCGGUGAAUACGUUCCCGGGCCUUGUACACACCGCCCGUCAAGCCAUGAAAGCCGGGGGCGCUUGAAGUCCGUGACCGUAAGGAUCGGCCUAGAGCGAAACUGGUAAUUGGGGCU
rnacentral:rRNA from 1 species